rnacentral:lncRNA from 1 species
CUACUUUGAUAGCAUAAAAUCGUUCGGGGGUUUUAAUGUAAAAACGCCUGCGCAGAGCUUGGAGAGCAGAGCACUCGGGUGCGAUGGGUUGAUUGAUUCCAUAGUAGGUUUCUGAGUUCAUCAGGUGUGCUCGUGCCUGAAAUGCUUUUCACAAGAAGCUAGUCAGAAAAAGGGGCACGCAGCUACGCGAUUCUAACUGCUCUUGGUUUUGUAACUCACUGCUCUUGGUUUUCUACGUGGGAGUUGGUCCGGAUAACAUAUCUUAACGAGGGAUAUAAAAGGGCGAAGGUCAAUGAAAUGGGGUCCUUAUAGGUAUCUGCCCAUGUUCAAUCACUGAAGUAAUGAAUCUAAACAAGAAAACGAAGUAGAAGUGAAAAGCUUUUCUAAUAUAUUUUUAUAUCUCUUUGCUCAGUUUUCCCCUUUAAUGUCCCUCUCCAUUAUUAUUCAUAGUAAUGUGCUCCUCGCUGAGCUUUAUGAUUUCCAUUGUCAUUCUUCCCUCUCCUCUCUGAUUGCUUUUCAUCGUCUCUUUGCGUUUACCCUAUUUUCGUGACUCUCCUCUCUUUCUUCUCCCCGUACCAUUAUUUUGAUCGUUUCUGAAUCUUGAAAUUGCUUCAAUGCAUGUGAUCCCUCUCCUCAGCCUUCCCCUCCUAAAUCUUAGAAUCCUAAUGCCGCAGGUGCUAUGUCGGAAAUCCAUUUUUUUAUCCUCUGCCCCAAGGAAAAUCAAAGAAGAAGAAAGCCCUGGUAUUCUCUACUUGAAUUCCGGAAGAUUCAGAUACCGAAAGCAAUAGGAAUGGGAAAGCGGAGCGGGCAAUAGGUUUAUGACUGAGCACUAGAGCCUGGAAUAGCAGGAGGUUGGGAAAUAUGCCAUGCAGAAUUCCAAUAAGUUGGCACUGCUUUCCCUUUCCAUAUGAAAAAUGGAGAGGAAAAGCAUGGGUGGACCAAGCGUUUUAACCGGAAUCUAGUGACGGAGAAAGAAGAAAGAUUUUUAAGCGCUAGAUAGGGUCACAAUUCAAUAAAGAUACUUGGCUGGAUGGCGAAGCUGUGUUUGCUCUCCCAAAUCGAGAUCAAAGUCUUGCUUGACAGCGUGAGGAACUUUGAAUGCUCCGUACAAAGGGUCAUAGGGAGCUUUUGGAGGUCAGGGAGAAGUGUGUGUGGCCACUGUGCGCAAGCAUUCUGUACAACGAUCUUGCUGAGGAGGUCCCCGGUCCCACCUCCAUAAAGAAGAUCUGGUGACUGCCCAUUGUCUUGUUUUGGCUUGGAAGUCUCCUCAAAAUAAGGCAAGUGAGUCAACGAUCUCUGUAAGAGGAAUUGGAAGAUGGGGGUUCCAUGGCGCACUGAGAUGAAAGGUUGUCUUGGACGUGCGGCCCCUUAUCCCUAUCCCUUUGUUGAUGAAUCCCAUGCAACGCGCCCUUGCUUGGAUGAAAAAAUGUCAUAAGGGGGACUCGUUUCACUUGAUUCGUUCCGUCGCACCCGCACUAUUCCUAAAUUUCUUUUCUAUUUCUAUUUUGAAAAAAAGGUCGAACUCAUUUCGUAUAGAAAGAAAGAUGUGUCGGGUUUGGAUCGAGUGACACAGGAGGUGCUUCUGCGUGGCACUCUUUUUAAUGGGCUUUACCGUCUUUCUUUACCUUCAGAACACAAAGCUUUGCUUGGCGAAAUAACUCCUGCCUAUAUUUGGCAUCUCAUCUACUUAAUUUAAUGACAUUCCAUAUCUCAGGAAGGAAAAAAAGCGAAUGGAAUUUCAGUCAAGUCUUUUUUUCUGCUUUAUCCUUCUCUCAAUCAAAGAAAGGGAAUGCAGAUGUUCUGUCGCCCUCUCUUCGUAUGCCCAGCCUUCCUCUCAAAACCAUACUGAUCCGAUCUUGCGCAGAUAGGUAGGGACGAUCCCUCCAGUAACCAUGCCUAAAAUCAUAAGCUGACCCAUUACUUCUGUAGGUGCCUCAAUUCUUCCCAUUUUCCUACUUAUAUAACUCUUUGGGGUCCAUACCGCAGUUGGGGACGGGAUAUGAUUGCUUUCUUAAACAAACCUUUUAGAGCGUUGUCAUCUUACCAGCACAGGACUCAAUAGUAAGGACUGUCACUGCAUUGUUAUCGCUCAUGGAUCGUGUUAUACUUGGGAAGAUCCGGCCCAAGGGGAAGUCUGUUAUCCACAACCCAACCUUAGAUGAGGGAGAAGUUCACGCUUGAUCUUCGACCCAAGACAAUGGAAGGGAGCUAAAGCCUUCUUCCUUUUUCAAAUUCGUUUAUAUGGAGCAAAAAGAGGUCGUGUCAUACCAUUUAUUCCGCCAAGAAGCAUUCGUCUACGGCACUUAGAACGCCUCGACACAUUUGUCCUCACGCCUAGGACGGUCUUUCACACGGAAGUAAGAUUAGAGAGUUUGAUCAUAGUUUGACCAUAGUAAAAAAGAAGUCCCUUUCUCAUUUGCUUCCUGGUCAUCUCUAUAGAGAUAGAAGAAAGAAGUCCCAAGCAAGGGUCAUGCUAUUUCUAUUCUUUUCACUAUUGUUAUUCCCUAUUUCCUUAACUGAUCUUGAGUUGUACCGAAACAACAGAAAUAUGGUCUCUCAUAAAUUGAUUUCUUUCAUCACUGUUCUUAAAUCAAUCCGUGUCAGGUACGGAGCCAAUCUUAACAUCCCAUAGGUAAAACAAGUCGCUUUAUGGGCUCCUCGUGAAACUACAACCUUUCUGAAGCCCUAGUCAAAAAGUUGUGCGAAACCUCAAUUGGUAAGAGGAGUAAACACCUAUUCUUUGGCCAUUCAAAACAUCGAAUUGGUUGGCUCGCUCAACCUCUCGAACCGGGACAAAACUUCCCAGCGUUGCAUUCACCGCCUAGCCUCGUCCAACAUGACUGUAAGGCACGUUUUGCAUGCCUUUAAAGUGUACCCCCUCGGAGGUAUCAAAAAGUGCGAGAAAUCGCAUUGAUGACUAAUAAAGUAGGGUUUUCACUCGUGUGGGUUCGCCCACCUUCCCUUCAGCAGCUCUCCCUGGACACCCUAUACUAAACUGAGGAAUUACUUAAGCUCCUGGCUUUUUUUCCGACAACUCAAAGCCGCUGCACCGACAGAUAACAUGCCGUGGAUCUUAUGUGGCGCUAAAACUUCAUGAUAGAUCAAAUCCUGAUUACGACUGGAGAGGGACGUUGAUGUUCCAAACAUUGGGUUCAAGAGCUCGGUUUGAUAGACAUAAACCUCAGUGAUCGGCUUUACACCAGGAAGGAGCAAUGAGAUAAACUCACCCCCCAUGGCGAGACUAGACUGAUUCAUGGCCUCCUGCUUGAACAUUGUCCCAAAAUCAACGGUCACACCCUUGCCAAACACCUCCUCAGCUGACGAUAAUAUAUCGGACAUUGGACUGCAGGGCCUUAGUUGGCCAAGUAUGUUUUGUAUAUAAGGAUCCAUGGUCUUAUCAAACUCCAAUUACCAAAUGGUACAUACAGGAGUUGUUGCAUAAAAGGAAGUACCAUUGCCCCCAGUGAUCUUUAAAAGUGAUAAACUAAACUCAUCACGUUAGGAGAAUCCUCUAAACUUAAUAUAAUAGGCUCACUUUAUCACUAUAAACUUUUUAGUGAUGACCAAAUAACGAAAACACUUCGUUGAAUGACGUGUUGUUAAAGAAAAUAGCUGCGUCGCCCCCCUUCAAGACAGGAAACUAUAGACAGGUACCUGAGGUGCCCUGCUGAGAGAAGAAUUUGUCAACAAUCAAGCACUUGAGCUUGCAAGAAUAAAUAUAUGAUGUCUAUGCUAUUAUUGGGAUAAAAUGAAUCAAAAAAGCAGCAGAAUACGAGAAGGAUUUCUUUUCUUAAAGGGUGUAUACAUUAGAGUGUACCUGCUUGGUAGGCAUGAAAUCACUGACAAAGAGUUGCCUAGCUCCGAUGAGCUUGCAAGCAUAAUUUGGAAUUUCAUAGAAGCGGACAUAGCUAGGGGUGAACCACGAGAAGUUAGAGCAAUUAAUGGGUAGGUAUCGUAAACAUCCUGAGUGUAUCACGGCAUUGAAGCAGAAGAAAGAGAAAUGUUUUCCUUUCUUUCGCAUUUGAUUUGCAUGCCCCCUGUAGAUUUGACCCGGAGCCAAUGCCAGUCUUUUUUGCGAUGAAAUGCACUUGAGCUAGUCACUAAGUAAGGCGACAGCACCAAAAGAUGUGCAUGUGUCAUUAGGCCAUUGGAUUACUCAACAAAAAGUGAAGUGCCAAACGAUGAAGAAGAACACUUGAAACCAGGCACUGAACCCUAAAUGCUUCGCCUGGCUAACCAGAUAGAUUACUUCUAUCUGCUAGCUUGCCCUAAGAAAAACAACAGUUCGACAGAUAUCUCCAGUGCUUUUCUAUUCAAAACACAAGGGCGCUAAGCAAAGAGAAUUUCAAUUAACGAACAGUAGGUGCUUUUUCUUCCUUGGCCCAUCUCAGUGAUAUGUAGGCUCUCAGCCCUUACUUGAAUCAUCCGUCCUCCCUACAGAAAGAAAGCGAUUUUAUGCCCUCCCGAAGGAAAACGUUUGGGCCGGCUGGAGCUCGACACGGAGCAAAAUGUAGAUGAUCUCCGCAAAUGGGCGAGGUAGGAGGACGUGGUUGGAAGUUUUUUGACACGAGGCCUUGCGCAAAAGACGAGUACUUCAGAGCCCACCAGGAAAAGGAUAUUGGUUCGCAUCUCUAUAUUGAUCCGCGGCGCUUCUAUGAAGUUUUCCUUGUCUCCGAUUUCAAAGCUGAAUGGAUGACUGAAUCUGUCGAAGCAUCAUUCGAUAUUUGCAGAUUGACGUAAUGCUAUGAGGAGUUAGAGUCUUCUGCGGGAAAGACAUUUCUUGUAGAGUUUUGUAGAUCUUUUUGCUCUACUUUUUCUAGUAUUCCUUACAUAAGAUCUCGGAAGAGCCGAUGUUUCCUUCCGUUCCCGGUAAAUAGGAACUCUAUAUCCUCUAGCUCUUCGUGACCUGUUGUGUCUGCCCUCGACUUAGCCGUCAUAGAAUAGAAAGGUUUCUAACCGUUGAAAAGGAUACUUCUAAACGUUAAGGGGCGCUCAACCUUCCACACAAAUCCUUUUUACCAGAAGGGAGCUCGCCUGCCACGACAUAUAAGGGAAAAGGCAAUGUGUGGAACUAGAUCAAGUUUGAUCUGCCACUUACACUGGAAGGGCAAGAACUAAUGCUUAUGCGUAUUCUUCCACGGCAUAUAGAAGGUUAACUACUCCAACUCGAUGGCUGAGAGAAAAGUGAAAUCCUAGCUUUCCCUAGAAUCAGCUCUUUACUAUCCUGCCCCAGGGGGUUUUUCGGAGACAUUGAACCCUAGAUUUAGAAGCUUUCCCAAACAAACCUUUUGACCAGGAAAAGGCAUACCAAAGAUUUUUGGAAAGACACAUUGAAAUGGAAGCUCUCGAACCUAUUCCGAAGUAAGUUUAGGAUGAGGUUUCCGAUCCGGUUGGUGUUCCGACAUCCCGAAUCGAGGUGGCUCUAAACUCAGGUUUGCCUACCUCUCUAGUUACAGAGGGAGGAGAGGGGCUUCGUCUUUUUAGGUCUCUGAAAAUCCAGUUGACAUGUGUGAUCCAAUCAAGGAGGCAGUACUUCUGCCUGAGUUCCUCUGGAUCCUACUCGUCGGGAUAACCGUGCUCCCGCAGGUUGUUCACCAUGCGUUCCAUAGCACUUUGACUUUAUAUCUUUUACCAUGUUGGAAUCAUGUAGAUGUAGAUUGCUUUCAUCGCAGGGUCAUUCCUGAAGGUGCCUUGUACCAGCUCUUCGUCAUCAUAAAUAGAAGUGGUAUUACCAGCCAUUCUGGAGGAGCAGUUGAUUUAGCAAUUUUUAGUCUUCAUCUAUCAGGUAUUUCAUCAAUUUUAGGUUCUAUCAAUUUUAUAACAACUAUCUUCAACAUGCGUGGACCUGGAAUGACUAUGCAUAGAUUACCACUUUUUGUGUGGUCCGUUCUAGUGACAGCAUUCCUACUUUUAUUAUCACUUCCGGUACUGGCGGGGGCAAUUACAAUGUUAUUAACCGAUCGAAACUUUAAUACAACCUUUUUUGAUCCUGCAGGAGGGGGAGACCCAAUAUUAUACCAGCAUCUCUUUUGGUUCUUCGGUCAUCCAGAGGUGUAUAUUCUCAUUCUGCCUGGAUUUGGUAUUAUUAGUCAUAUCGUAUCGACCUUUUCAAGAAAACCGGUCUUCGGGUAUCUAGGCAUGGUUUAUGCCAUGAUAAGUAUAGGUGUUCUUGGAUUUCUAGUUUGGGUUCAUCAUAUGUUUACUGUGGGCUUAGACGUUGAUACGCGUGCCUACUUCACCGCAGCUACCAUGAUCAUAGCUGUGCCCACAGGAAUCAAAAUCUUUAGUUGGAUCGCUACCAUGUGGGGAGGUUCGAUACAAUACAAAACACCCAUGUUAUUUGCUGUAGGGUUCAUCUUUUUGUUCACCAUAGGAGGGCUCACUGGAAUAGUUCUAGCAAACUCUGGGCUAGACAUUGCUCUAGAUGAUACUUAUUAUGUGGUUGCACAUUUCCAUUAUGUACUUUCUAUGGGAGCCGUUUUUGCUUUAUUUGCUGGAUUUUACUAUUGGGUGGGUAAAAUCUUUGGUCGGACAUAUCCUGAAACUUUAGGCCAAAUCCAUUUUUGGAUCACUUUUUUCGGGGUUAAUCUGACCUUCUUUCCCAUGCAUUUCUUAGGGCUUUCGGGUAUGCCACGUCGCAUUCCAGAUUAUCCAGAUGCUUACGCCGGAUGGAAUGCUCUGAGCAGUUUCGGUUCUUAUAUAUCCGUAGUUGGGAUUCGUCGUUUCUUCGUAGUUGUCGCAAUCACUUCAAGCAGUCUUCUUCAUCUGGCCGCAUUGCAUCAAUAUGGAUCAAAUAAUCCAUUGGGUGUACAUUCUGAGAUGGAUAAAAUUGCUUCUUACUCUUAUUUUUAUGUAAAGGAUCUUGUAGGUUGGGCUAUCUUUUUGUCCAUUUCCUUUCGGUGGUUUUUGGUUCUAUGGAAAAUUUGCUCCAUUCUUUGGACAAUUAUGGAACUGAUCGCUCCCGGCAUCUUUGGUUACUCUGUGCUAAUGGAAUGCUUCCACGUUUUCCCCCCACUGCCUCCUGUAGAACCCGCGGAAAUAACCUCUUCCUUUAAGGAAAAUACAUCCUCCAUGGAUAGGCUGAUGUCGGUCUUGGGGGAAACUAGUGUUUCCACAGGUGAACCCUCCGUUAACCAACUCGAAAGAGAUAGUUAUACGGAACAACGCCACCUGUGUAUAAGUGCUAUCCGAGCUGAAAUGCUUGAGCAAUACAAGAAGGACGUUGGCAAGCGUCACUUCUUAAUGCAUAUUGCUUUUUUUGUGUACAAAGUAUACAAUCAGGGGAGGAUGGAAUCCGAUCUUGAUUCCAUCUGUCACCAUUUUGAGAUCGAAGAGUCCUCAUUGCAGGAUCUCGAAGAAUUUCUACAGGAUAUAAAGCACAAUAAAAAAAUAUUGUGAGAAUUUUUUUUAAGGAAAUGGCCAUAGGAAGCAAGCAAGUUUUUCAUAUAGUUGUUUUUGUGUAGUGAUCUCUGUUCAUGGAGAUCACGAGGCCACUGAUACCCGAAGUGGUUAGGUGGGAUAGAAGAGAGGGAAAGCGGGCUUCUAUCACAUAGUUUCUCUUUCAGGGUACAUAGGACGGCCCUCUCGUCAUUACCUUUUGUGCUUACCCGUAGCUAGCUGUGCCUGAAGUCAUGGAUGAUGCUAUUCCCACUGAGAGAUGUGCUGCAAAAUGGAAGCUGUGUUAGUCCUCGGCUAAAAUCAUCUUCCUUUAUUAAAGACCAUAUAUAUCCAUAUGUAGAUAGAAGAGGGGAUAUAGUCGUUCAAAGCUAAGGUGAGUCUGUUGCAGCUAAUUCCUCAGAUUCCACUUUCCUGUCUGUCCAUGUAAAAAGGAGUCCAGCCCACAAGGAGAGGGAAUCCACAAUAAUAUCUGUUUUAGAUGCUUUCUACUAUGUUUCAAGUGAUCAAAGAAUAGUAUCUUUAGACAGAACUGAAAUAGCAGAUGCAGAUUCGAAUGUUAAGGUUAUUAAAGCUUAAAAGAAAAAGCAGUCAUAGGUUAGGUGACUAAGAAAAGAAUGUGGAAAGGGUCACGGAUAGGAUUGGUAUAUUAGUUUCAGCUAUAACAGAGAUUUCUCAGCAUGUUUCUAUCUGGUUGGUAUCCGCCGGUACCAUUCAUUGUGAGUGCUUUUAGGGGUUGCUCAACUCUCGGCUAUUUUCACCAUCUAAAUGAUUGCAUCUUCCCGUUCUCACAAUUUCUCAAAGGUUAUUGUAUUGAUACUAUGGAAUUUAGAGUUAAAAAACAAUAGGGUUCAAUUCGAUUCAUUUUGGAAACUCUAGCGGGGCCAUCCCAAAUUCCUCUCAGCUGUCAUAAUUGAAUAAAAGGGAUCGUAUAGCUUUCCAAUCCAGCAACAUACAUCUAUCACCUAGGCAUAACUGCCAACAUCAGUAUGCAGAAAGAAUCUGUUUAGAACGGUUUAGAGUCGGAACCAAGGCAAGAUAUCCAGGAUUCCGUAUAGUAGAGGAACGAACACACUGGGCUUUCCCUUUCAAAUAGACGACCUGGAGACAGAUCAACACAACCAGUGCUUCUUUUAGACCUAGAACCCGGACCAGAACAUGGAAAUGGUUACAAGGCAUCGAACGGCACUUGUCCUAUCAUACCUUCUCUUGUGGCUUUAGACUGUGUAUAUACUUGACCUUGCCAAGCAGAAGAAGCAGAAGCCCUAUUGGAAUCCGAGUCAGGGUCAUUGUUGUUACAGUUUCCCCUUUUGGUAAAGGUUGGGUUGAAGGGAUUGGGAUUGGCUUAUCGAGAUGUGCGUGUAUCUCAUAUCGUUCUAGUGACUCCACUUUCCUGACCAGGGAACUGCUAUCUCAAGUAUAGUCAAGUCCCGGAUUCGAAAGUCGACAUGAUACGCUUGAUUGGUCUGGCAUCGCCGGUUUUGCAGGAUCACUUAUGCUAUUUCGAGAACAGAACCUGGCCCAUGGGGAAGAAGUAGUAGCCAAUGCCGAAACUACUUGCUUGCUUUUACUUUCCGACGCCAAUGCCAACAAGUGCUUUCCUGACUCGAGAACGAGUACAUACGCUUUCUCCGAUGCUUGCUCUUGUUACGAGCUUCUACCCGACCGAUUAGCCCAGAGCACUAAUACGCUUUCUUUCCUUGAACAAGUACCUUUCCUUCGAACGAGAAUGCCAACUGCUUCCUUCCAACAAUCCAAUACGAAUACGAAUGUACGAAUGACAGGCCAUUCCCCGGAGUAGAGUAGAAAUGAAUUCAUUCACAUCUGCUAGAAACCAGAGCCUGAGCUAUGAACCGAUCUAAGAGCGGACAAGCAAGCCUAUUCCUAUUGUUUUGGGAGGCAGAUUCCAUAUGUUAUUUCUCAUUGCGAAUACAGAUUCUUCUUGUACCGUAGUAGCUCGACUGCUUUCCUGACUUGACUCGAUAACUGCUUUCGCUUCCCCAAUCCCAGAGCAUCCAAGAGAUUCGUUUCCACACGCCUGAUCCGCAGUUCGAUUCGUGCCGGUGCCGGCAAGAGAUCCUGUUCCUGUUGGGCAAGGGAUUUGAUAGCUAGAAAAACAAGCGGCGGAUUCGAUUCUUUCUUUGAUAGCAGAACGGGAUAUUCCACUCUUUUAGAUGCGCACCGCACUUCAUCAGUAGAAAAGCCCGGCGCCUGAAACCCAAGCUCAAAACCACCCUUCCUUUAGUUGGACCGGCAUACAUAUCUUAUCUCGUAAGAAACCGGGGAAUAUUGAUUUCGAGUAAGCAUCGUAUCCUGAUCCUGCUAUUGAUGUAGAUUUAGCCACACCAGCACCUGAGCCCGCAACUGCUGCCUCUGUAAUCGAGGAAUAUCCCGUCCCGGAUUUGCCCUAAAGUAUUAUGGGAUAUCUAUUAUUAUUGGCAACUUGUUUAGUUCCCGCAGAAAGAGAUGCGCCAUAGUAUCCCUCGGGCAUGGGCCAACCACCAAGGCCAGGAACUAGAACAACUCGAUACUUUCCACCAUCCACAACCCUUGAUUUCUCAUAUUUGUGCAACGGCUGUUCUGGCACUAUUCUCCGAUUUCCACCCAUUGUUCACAUUCUAUAUACCUUGCCCCCUCCUCCCAACUUCAUCACACCCGCCUUUUUAACAUUGUUUUGAAACAAAGGAAACAUGCAACUGCCCGUACUUUCCCACUUGUAUAGCCCACCACUUAAUUAAUGCGCGACCUGAUGCGGGUCAUAUUGGAUGAUCAGCGAACCUAAUUAUAUUCACCUGUAGCCAAUGACCAAUACAUAAUCUCAGAAUCCUCACCCAGCUCGGUUGAUUAGAUCUCCCUUUAAUUCAUAUAUGCUACUUCCGGACCGGGCAUAAGUGGAAACCCAUUGAUCUCGGGAUCAGGACUCGAACUUAGAAGCUCUUCCUCUUUUAGCAACCGGAUUGCUCCUCGCAAUAAAUAUGGCUCAGGUGUUGGAUCAAUAGCUCCUGUUUAGGAAGGAUGUCAUGGGCCCCCAAGCAUCCCCUUAAAUAUGGUGAAUGAAGAGAAUUGGACCAGUCCUUGAAUAGGAAUGAUGGGUAUCCUUGUCAUAGGGCUAUGUUUCUGUCAGAGUCUAGUGGCACCCUUUAAAGUAGUCUGGCUGGAUUGCUGCUGAAUAGCUUGAUGGGUCAGGGCAGAUUGAUAGGGAAAGAACCCUCGCCAUCUGGAAUCACUAUCUUCCGUGGAUGUUCUCGUUCUCCUUCUCUCAUUUCUGUGAUCGUAUAAGCUAGAUAGGCUUCUGUAGUUUCCGGGUUGCUGGGUUCCAUUUUUCUUUGCUUGCUGCAUAUCUCACUCAAUCCCUUGCUUUCGAGAAUAGCAUUUCCCUAGCGCUAGUUGUGGGUCAGAGUUGACAGAUCAGAAGUAGAAUACUUGACCUCUCUAAGAUGCCAGGAGGGAAUAGAACAGUCAUGCAGAAGAGAGAAGCAGGUGAGGGUGGGACCCGGAAAUGCAUUCGAUUUUCUCGAGUGAAGUAGUUGAAAAUGUACCACCCUUUACGGGAUCUUCUCUGGUGCGCCAACCCUAGAAUGUCAUAUUAUGAUGGCGCUGGAACUGGAUCACUCCACUUCAGAGGCAGGUAAGCUUGCUCCUUGCACUGGCACUGGCUUGCUUCGCCCAGAUAGGGCUUCUGUUGGUCUCUCUUUUUCACUAUCACUGAAAUCCACCUCCUCUUUAGAAAAAUGAGAGCUGCUCUUUGGUAGUUUCGGUAGUCCCAAGUAAGCUAUCGACUCUGGUGUCCAAUCAGUUCUGAAGUCUGGCUUGUCAUUGGAAAAGGUAGCAAAGAAUAUCGUAUCAAGAUGUCGGUAGUACAAAGCAAGCUACUUCGUCUGUUCACUCAAUUGGCUCCCUAAUCUUGCCUUUCAAAGAAAGGAUAAUGCGUAGGAGUGAAGCAGUUGACUACUGUGUCUUGAGGAGUUCUGUACCGUACCCUGUGUGUCCGAUCGAGUUCUGCGGUCUACGGCUGUAUCCGACCAAUUAUCCAAGGCGCGGUCCACCUCUUUCUAUGCUUCAAUUUAGUGACGCAAGUAAUGGUGGUGUUUGUUGUACUAUAGGUACUGGGUUCGUUCUCUCGUUGUCAGUAUGUAUUGAACUACCGCAAUACAGGACUAGUGGGCCCCCCGUCUAUCUAUUAGCCGUCUAUCUAUUAGACCUAUCUAGAAGUAGAAGUUCGUUGCAUUCCCGGAGAUGUAGAAUCGAGUGUUUAGCUUACCGGGCAUUGUGCUAAGUUUGCAUCCGAAUCGAAAUCUGGCGCUACUACUCAAACACGAAAGCUAGGGAAGGGAAUAGAAGGGCGGGUAGAUCAAUGUGAUGAUAGCACCACGCCAGGCACCGAAGACGAAAGCGAAACAUCGUCGGUAACACUAUACGUUGUAGUCUCGCAUUAUCCACUGGAUCCGCGGCUAACCAUAUAUAAUGCUCAAUGCUAUGCAAAAUCAAUAAAGGGGAGAUUGUCUUCUAACUAACUAUAUAAGUAAUUUAUAUAACUAGAUGAUUCUCGUUCAAAAGAUUCUUCCCAUUAUCAUUAUAUAGAGAGGCGGAGGCGUAGCAAUAAAAAAGCUUGCUUGUUGGGCUGAUGAGGCUCGAGAAAGACUGUGAAGUGAAGAUGCGCCAUUACCGAAACCAUUUCUUUGCUUUGGGCGAAGUUCCUUUACAGGGAGCUCACUUCCUUGCUUGGUUGGUUGGUUGAACUUGCUUUUUAGGUGCGGUGCGUGCGGGUCUAGUUUCAUUUAUGAGUGCUGCGUAUAUUUCCGUUAGUAAUGGUUUUGAGCUUGGGAAGAAGGGAUAUGGGUAUGGCAUCAUCCCAGAUUUGAUCUAAGGCUAGUUCCGUGUGUGCAACUACUAUCUUAUCUCAAUAUCAGGCUAAGGCUUGGCUAAGUGCUCUAGAGGUUUUCCUUAUUGUCCUGGUUCUUACCUCAACAGGGCAGGGGAGAUAGUUGGAAGUUGAAUAGUCAUAUCGUAUCAGUUCAGAGAAUCCCUGUUGAAUGGCUUGGCUUUCAGUGCGAGUCUAGUUGACUGAUUCCUAGGCUAGCUUCUCCUUAUGUGCGGGUCUAGUCUACAGAACAGAUGAAGACCCAGAACCGAGGAGAACAGAACGAAUACCGAUCUCAGAGCGGACAAUCAAUCCCAGUUCCUAGUUUCCUUCAAGCAAUAGCCUGCCUGUUCCCGUUCUUCGUGUAGCAAACCUCCUAUAGUGGAUAUGAGUGAGAACGAGCUUGACUCCACUCACUGCAAAGGAACAACUGAUUCUCCAAUUCCGUGGUUUGUUUUCCUUUCAUUCUACCUACCUUCUUUUCGCCGGAGGCAUAUUUGAUACGUUAUUUAACAUUCCGAAGAAAGUGCAAACUUCCAGAUCUGAAGGAAUGGCAAGAUCAGAGAUCCAUUUUACGCUGGGGCCUGGCCAAUGGGGAAUCAGUAGUACUCGACCUUUGCUUCAGAAAUCCACUGUUGCUGAAGAGAAGAGAAGAGAUUUCUAGCGCGCACUCCUAUCCGAGUAGAAAGACAGCCUACACUCACUGUUGGCAAUGGAAGAGACUAGACUCUUUCCACACUUAAGAUCCCAAGGGACAAGACAGAUCAGAUCUUUCUCUUUAGCCGGUCUCGUGUUAGAUCCUAUGAUUUGGUUAGUUAGCCUACGAGAACAAGUCACAAGUUUUUUGUUUGACUAUGCAUCCAGUUCGUUGCUAUCUCUAUCUUUAUCUACAUGGAUAUUAACACGCACUAUUCUUGAGAGUCAAGACACCGUUUUGCUUUAAAGAGCAAAAAAAAUCCCAGAUAAUUACUAACGCACCGUUGAGUACAUAGAUUCUUUUCCUGUUCGUACUGGAGUAUAGUAAGGAAAAACUGCUUGACCGAAUCAAGGUCAAGAUAACUAGUGUGAUUCCUACACUGGGAGAAUCGUGGAUAUGUAGGGAAUAGAGAAAUGCCACCCGCCUAAGUAAAGAACUGUUACAAAUAAAGAGGAAACUAAUAAGGAUAAGUAAGAAACAAGAGAAAAGAAACCAUAUUUGAUACUGGAAUAUUCGGUUUGAUAACCCGCAACUAAUUCCCCCUCUGGGUAAUCUUUCACAUUCGGCCAAAGAAGAAAUUCGAAAAACUAGAAAGCCUAUAGGCUGACGCCAAAGAUUCCAUCAAAAAAACCGUAUUUUGGUUGUGCUUCAACUAUAUCAACUGUACUUGAACUGUUAGAUAAUCAUAGUCGAUAAUAACAUCACAGCUCCCACCGCUAUUGAAAAACCUUACAUGAAACCUUAGCUUCAUACGGCUCCUCUAUGAUCAGAAAAAAGGACUGUUUCGGUAUUAUUCCCCAGGUUUAUCAGUUGCAGGUGAAUCCUGUGAAACAUCUCUCUCGAGGCUAGUAACAACACUUGGAAAUGAAAAAUGAGCUUAGCGGCUGUACCGGGUCAGGACCAUAAACACCACGAGCCGGUUAAGCAACAGAAGCUGUGGGCGAAAGCACACUCGUCAUUCUCAGACCUGCGGUCGAGGUACGUGCGAACAAGUUCCCAUUCUCUAUGUUUCAUGGCCUAUCAAUGAAAGUCGGUAUCAGGCUGGCUCGCUUGGCGGGUCGUCUCCUUAUAUACCUAAAUCCUCGUUUGACUCAUCUGUAAAGGUCUACCCUUUGAAAGGUAGGUUGAGUUCCCCCGUAUGUAGCCAGCCACACUCUACUCGCAGGUAAAAUAUUGGCGUAGACAACAGAGAAUGUGCUAGGUAGGAAACCGAAGGAACUCUUACUAUACGAGAAUUUGCAAUUCAAUAUGACAACCGAUCAGAAGGGAUUGGACGAUCCCAAUGCGUUGCCCUCCUUCGCAAUACCGGAACUAUCUGACCGAGCUCCAUCAACACAGAAAGCGGAAGGGACAGCAGAUACGGAUAGACUGGAUCCGGAAAGGGAUUUCAGCCAGUCCUUGCCUAUUGCUGGGCUGGUUGUUUUGUCACGGUCCGAUUAGUAGAAGGUGAGUGAGUAAGACGAGGCCCCCGAAGCGUAAUGUAGAGCUAUACUGCUCUUGUUUUUCCUUCCGCCCUGCUUAGGAGAACUUUGUCUAGAACCCACUUUAGCUAGCUUUCCAGGAUACCAUUACAGAUGAGUGAAGCGAGUAUACCGUUUCCGGAGCUCCCGAGGUAGCACGGUAGCGGAAGCCCUUUCUAGUUCAAGCAGUUCCAAUUCCUAUUCUGCUUCACCGCUUACACCACACUCUAUUGGUUCGCCUUGUGGUGCCUUUCGAUCAACAGGUCUACUUUGGUUGAUCCACUUUCUUCUACAGCGCGUUAUCCGCAUCGAAGUUAGCCAGGUUCCUACCGCUUCUUGAUAUUAUGGAUUUUGCAAUCCCUGAACGCCAGUGCUUCUACAACCAAUGGAUACUAUUUAACAUAAAUAAUAAGUAGAAAUGGACAAACGAGUGUGGCUACACAGAGUGAGGAAAAAAACAUGGUGGUACCAGCAUUGCGUAUCACUCACUAUGCUUUAUGUAAUAUGGCUUAAGCAAUGGUAAAAUGGGAGUCCUGAGCAAAGCACAUCUGAUCGAUAUGAAUGAAAGAUACAUCCGUCUUUUCUUCUCCUUCGAAGGUUAGGUAUCCGCUCGUUAGUUCAGCGCCGCAUAAAUACUGACUUUAAAAGGGGCGACUCCCGCCUGUGCUUAAGUUGUUUCAAGCUUGUAAAGACUCGCGAUCGGAAGAUUGACCUGGUUUUCUUUCAGCGGAAACUCUACCUAAUGGUUCAGGAAAUGGAAAUGGUAACAACGGCCCAAAAAUGGUAAGGUUUUCUUUUCAAAGAAAAAGGAACGCAAAAGUUUUGCGAAAUCCUUAUCUUUCGGCUUUUUAAAGAAGAUAGGCCAUUACAAAAACAAGGUAUAACAGUCGACUUUCCUAUCAGGAUUUUACAACCUGAAUACCAAGGGACCACUAUUAGAAGAGAGCAUAAUAAGUAAAUGCCGACGCCAUCUUUGACUUUUUGGAUGGUCGGCGGCGCCAUAAACUCGAUAACCAGCACCGCGGAGUCAAGAAAUUCAACUAAAUAGAAUACUAAAACAAUCUUAUUCGAGCACACACGGGACCCACAGCAAUGAAAUUCACACAAGCGGCAAUCAUCCGAGCAGAGAAUGGAGAAGGGAAAUAUACUUGAAAUUGUUUUUUUCGAAUGAGAAAGCCUUUGGCAAACUCCUUGCAAAUCUGUUUUUGCCGGGCACAAUAGACAUAUCUGCUCAGUCACAACAUAAGGAACCCCCAAUGUUCCUCAAAGCCUACCCGGCCUGACAGCUUUAGUUGAAUGAUCUGAUCCCGAAGCAAGCUUUCUACUUAAAUUGCUAUGACUGGCCAACUAAUGAUAGGACUACCUAUCUUGAUGCUUUGAAUCUGUAUUCAGAGCUUUUUUCCAACUACUGGGACUACUAAUUUCAAGUACAAAGCUCUCCUAUGAAUAUGCUACUGCUCUUACUUUCUACCGGAAUCCGAGCAUUGAAGCAAGCUCUUUAUCGCGCCAUAACCGAGUCUCUCCUUGCAGCUCUGACGAAUCCACCCGUCAUUGCAAAUAACUGUUCCUUACUCUUUGAUUGUAUGUCCAUUUUUGCUUGAUGUCUGGCUCACCGGAUCUGGUACAUGAAAAAGCCAUUCCUUUUCGCUUUCCUUCAACCACUCAGUAUACUUUUUUACUGGAAGAGUCAAGCGAAAGCAAUUAGUUUAGAAGGAAGAGGAAGACCUAGGGGGCUUACGUCCUCAUUUCACUCUUUUUGCUCCUGCGAGACACGACUCAACUACUUUUUACAAUUGACAGGGUAGCCCGGAGGUCAGAUGAAGGGUCUUCCCCAUAAAGAUAGAUUAGUACUUGGAAGGUUCAGAUGAAGGAAGGGCUGAAACAAGGCAAAAACUAUUCAAUGGGGUAAAUAAAUAUGAGCAAUCCGUGAGAAUAGCAAACCCCUAUCUCUUAAAAAGAAGAAGAUAGAUAGGUCCACGAGUUGAGACAGAGAAGUUCUAACUAAUCAAGUAGGAGUUUACCCACGAGAGUCAGAGGCUGCAUCAUCAAAGGGGUAUAGAAAUAAUUCAGAAGCACUAUGGCCUGAAGCGAAGGGCAGGAACGAACGGAAUCAAUGUGUUCCAAUUUAUCCAGAGUAAGGACAGCAGCUGAGAAGGUACAAAAAAAUAGCGUAGCCAAAAGGUAGGACCAGAUCAUGCGAAGAGCUCUUCGCCCUAUUGAUUAGGAAUCUCGAUCAGAAACCACCAGGCCAUGUCUCCCGAUAAAAGAUGAUCCCCACAAUGGAUGUCAGGCCUUGGCUUUAUAAAAUCUGAUUGGAUCCGCACUAGAGGAUAAGAAUACAGAUAGGCUGACUAAGAAGAUCUUCAAAUUGUCUUACCUGAAAAGAUGAGUUAUUCAAAGGAAUACCUGAAGAAUAGAAUAGAAUAGAAUAAACACAUGGCACAGCUGGGUGCUAGAAUAGUAGUUGAUAGAAGUUCUAGUCACUUAAAAAAAUAACCACUACUUAACUUAAUUAGAUCGUAGAAGAUAAGCAAGCGGGUUUGGGCAGUUAGUCCUAUUUGAAGGCAAGAAGUUCAGGUAGUAAGGGCUAGGUUUAUAUAGGGGCUCUAUUUUUGAUAAACAUAUGGUCUUGCUCAUUUCUCAUCAAGGAAUGGAGAUUGGGUUGGUGUUUGGAAGGGGGAUUCAGUAAACUGACCUUGGCCAGCAAGCAGAAAAAGGACUGACGUCUGGGGGCGCGCUAGCGCGCGUACUCUUCUUCUGCGAGACUCCAUCCAAAUCCACCACUUACUUGUUGGUUGGUGUUCCAUUCUGUUAUCUUAGACUAUGCUGCCUUCUUCAAUUCCAUUCUUCGUCUCCCUAGUCGAAGUCUUCUUGCUGGCCCAACCCAACAUGCAUUUUAGAGUGCCGUGCCAGGGCGAUAGGCGCUCCGCCAGUCACGCAUGAUCGCCAGAGCCUUUCUUGGCUAUGUAAAUAUAGGGCGGAAUAAGUGCAAGAUCCUCAACAAAAUGGAUUAAGGUGGGCUUCGGAUUUUUCAUAAUUUUUUUCUAUCUUUUCAUCAAGUUCUUGUUUGAUCUGCCGCUAUUAUCACAAUAUCCCUCCUUUUAGGGUUAAUGCUAUCAAUGGUGAAUCGAUCAUUCGCUAUCCUUUUUUUAGAAGAGCUUUUUUGAAUGGAAGAAAAGUAAUGAAACCCGCGAUGGCUACUGAAUAACCUCCUUUGAUUUUUUUUAUAAUAAACCCUUUGACCUUUUUCUUCGUUCGCCAAAUCUUCUUCAGUUCUAUCCAAGCUCGGUUUUUUCUGAAUCUUUGUGGAAGAAGAAGCGGUUCGCCAGCCGCUACAUCCAGGGAUCCCACAAAAUCAUUAAACCUGGCGGCUGCUCGCUCUUUGAUCAGUGAUUCACCGGCCACUAGAUCGAUGAAGAAUCUCUCAAAAAUCCGCUUUUUGAUCAGCGAUUCACCAGCCACUACAUUCUUGGAUCCCACCUUAUUCUCAAACCUGGUGGCUCGCUUGAUUGGCAGUCCUGUAAGCUCAUCUUGCAUACAAAUUUUGGGGGUACCAGGGCCUGCAUCCACCAAGAACAUUUCUUCCCUUAAGCGUAAGCGUAAAACUGAAGAUUGUGAGGCGUUUCCACUACAUAAUAAGAAACUAGAAUUAGAUCUUGGAAAUGAUCGACUCCAAUAGAUGCUCAUCAUAAGCUUUUUUUUCCUCCUAUUCCUAUUGAUCAGAAGUAUCCAGCAGCGCCACGCCAGAGUGACUUCCGAAGCGCUAUGGACGGGACGAAAUCCGGCAGCCAGUUGCUGGCUCUGAAUAACCAGCCCAGCAAGAAGCUAAAUUCUUCCAUAACAUAACAUAACGGGGCGGGGUUGCGCGCGAGCCGAGUGAUGUAGGUGCACAAGAGUACUUCGCGCCACAACCAUCUCUUUUUUAUAGGUUCUACGGACCGAUGCCUCCUGCUUCAUCUGGUAAAAAAGAGUCAUAGAUAUGCCUGUAAUUAGAAGGAAGAACCGCCAUAAAAAUCUUCCUCGUGUAUCGUCUGUAGCGGAACUAUGAACGGGAGCUAGCAAUCCGGACCGUAUUGAAAAGGUUCCUAAGACACAGCAUGGAAGAGUCAAAAUAUUCAGAAGCGAGGUCCAAGAAUGAAGAAGGGGUAGAAUUACUGAAUGAAUACGAGCUGUGGCUAAUACCCGAGGCAUAAAAGACGCAUUUUCUACGGGAUCCCGAAACCACCAGCCACCCCGACCUAAUUCAUGAUGAGCCCAACAACUUCCUGGCGAGAUGCCUACGGUUAAAAACAACCGACAUGUCAAGAUCCAUAUUCGAAUUGGUUCCUGGUCCUGGUCAGAGACCACCGUGUUCGCGCCGGCGGUCCAACAAAGAGGCGAAGUAGUGGUGUCUUUCUUUCCAUUACGAACGACACGCUUCGCCUGCUCCCUCCCCGUGUCCAUUAGCGCUCCUGUCCAGAGCGAAGAGAAGGCGAAAAAGCGCCGCCGAAGCAGCAUGAGCAGGCUUCUAUUGCUACGCAACAAUAGAGCAGGCGCGCCGCCCACAAAAUGUUUGAAUGAUCGGGUAAAGAGCGAGCUUCUUAUAUGGGAUCCGACGCAUCCAGCAGAGCGAAGCAGCGUUCCAUUCUUUUCGGCGGCAUCCUUCCGCAUUGGCGGCGACUCGAGUGCCACAAUCCCAUUCAUCAUUUUUGAUCUACAUAACCCAAAGCCCAUAGCACUGGCGACAUCUCCGGCAUAAAUGCAAGGAGGAUGUAUAGCUGAUAUAGGAUCUUGUGGAACUGGAUUUGAUUCUGCAAGCGGUUCGGUACGAACGAAGAAAUUUCAAACAAAAGGAUCGGAACUCGCUGAUAGGAAAGGAGAGAAAAACAAAGCAAUGCCAAGAGCUCCGUCAAUCUGCUGUUCAUCGAUAGACGAAGCUCUCUCUUUUUCAUCUCGUGCCAGAUGUAACAAAAGAUUAGUCCUUUUUCCUUCUCGCGAACCACGGGAGCGCCCAGCGCCCAGAAGAGCAAAGCUCAUUUUCAAAACAGGGUCAAGUGGCGCAUUAAAAAGGGCUGGCCCGUUAAAAGGACGCUUACUUUGCGAACGAAGUUCAGAAUCAACAAGGGUUCUCCGAACGAAGGGAGUGUACAACUGGGGCGCAGCCCAACUUUUUUGUUGGAGAGAUAGAAUGGAGUUCUUCACGAAGUUCGAGACAAAGGAAAAAAAUCAAAGUUUCUCUAUAGCCUCUUCGUUUUGAGACAUUAUGGCUUUGGGGUCGACCCCGGUAACAAAAAAGGAAUCCAUAAAAACUUGGGAUCCAACACCAUGAUAAAAUACUACCCUCAUGAUUAGACCAUGUCCCUGAGAUUUGAUAAAAAAAGGUGCAUUAGCGGUUAAUACGUUGUAAUUAGAUAAGUUAUUUGGAAUAUGACGGAACGAAAGACCAAGGAAAGGAAGAAGAAUGCACCAAAAUGCAAGUGCUGCACCAAACGCUGGUGGUUGUUUCUUGUUGUAAGUGAAUGCAAGGAAAAGACCCGGAAAUAACGAAUAAUGAGAAUAUUCAUUUAUAGACAUUUCGUGCUCAUUUCCAAAUUUAUGCUUAGUUAUUCCCAUCAUCCGGUAACCACAAGAUGAUCCCAAUCUCCUUUUAGUAAUAGAUCUUUUUGAUAUGUCUCAGUCUCAGCGGCAAGGAAGAGAAAAUGCAUCGAGUCGUUUAUCAAGAAAGUGGACGAGCAUGGCGGUCCCUAUAUCUCUGAGGGGUGUACCACUUUUUUUUCAAGUCAGCUUAAGAGGUUCAAAAGAGAAAGUCACUCUCCUUAUUCUUGGCUAGUGGAAUGGAAGCAAGACUCUUUCCUAUCCACUUUGCCGAGGGGAGAGAACUAAAAGAUAACUCAAGCUAGACAGAAAGGUGCAAAAGUCCACAGUUUCUUAAGGAUCCUGUAAGCAAGUAGGUUAAGAUUGUCAUUUAGCUUCAAUUUCUUCAGUCUCACAAGCGGGUCUGCAUGCAACAAAAGAAAUUGUAUUUUCCUACUACUCCGACCUUGCCCUGAAAGGAUAAGGAAAUUGGAUAAGAGCGAGAGCUAGACUGACUGUUGGUCCAAUGCUAGUGGAGGAUUCAGACUGAGGACCCCCUGUGGCGGCUACUCAUAAGAAGAUGAAGGAUUGAAAGAGGACUGAUCACCCCUCUGAUUUGUGAUCUUUUAAUAGAAAGAAAAAGCCUUCUCUCAGACUUAAAGGUAAAUGAAAGCGGGAUAUUUUUUUCUCUCCUCUAAGCUAGCAGCAAGUCAAGUAAUCUGAGAAUGCUGCCCCCAAUCCGUAGCUGAGGACGAACUCAACUCAUAAGCUUUUUUUGAACCAAGCACCUGUUGUAGAAAUGAAAAACCACCCACUAGCAGAGGCUGGAACAACCCAUAGAAGUGUAGGGGCUGCUUCAACCAGGCGUACCCGUAUCCAUUGAUUUACCUCCUCUAGAGAGUAUUGAACUUUGUGACAAAUAGGUUCUAGUUACACUCCUUAACUCCCUAUUCGCGAGAUAUAAAAGCUAGCUAGUAAGAAGACUUUCCCUUCUUUUCUGGGAGGGUGAGAACUUGAAAGACUGGUAGAGAAAAGGAAGAAAAGCGGCUAAUGCUAUCUAAACGAUUAUUUCAAAGUUUACCAAGUUCAAUCGUUCACGAGACAGGGGACUCUUUUAAAUAAGACAGUGUAUGGCUGCGAAUAAGUCUAUUCGGCAAGUCAUAGAGAAGGAUUGGAUAUAAGCUAUUCCCCGGUUCUUCAUUGGAUCCUUUUAGUUUAAUAUUACUUUUUGGAAGCAAUCUCAUAAUAAUAUGUAUUAGGGACAACAUUUAGGAUAGCAAAAGCAUUUUUGGAGCAAGAGGGAUUACCUUCCAGAUUCUUUUGUGAUACCCUCUGUGUCGCCUUCUCCUCGAUGGUCAGCCCAGUGUCCUGAAUCCUUGAGCUCUUCCUCAUGGCUUUGACUAGUGACUUACAUUCAUCUUAUUUGCUGCUCUCUUGGUCCUUGGAUAUGAUGUCUUCUGCCACUCUCCUUGGUGGCUAUUCUCCACCAUCUCAGUCCCCUCUGAGGUCAGCUGAAUCUGAUCAGUGGCUGUCUCUGCCCAAUCCACCAAGUGUGUACAAGACAAGAUCUUUGUCUGUCACAGGUUCUCCUGCUGCUGCAAGUUGAUCAGACUGGAAUUUGAUCCUGCGCAGAUAAUCUUGAGUAGUCUGGGAUCCUUUCUUGAUCGUUUGGAUCUAAAUACGCAGCUCAUUUAUUUUAGCAUUUGUCAUACAGCCAAGACUUCCGGUUUUUUUUCAGGUUUUCUCCCUUUUCUACGAAGGUUUGCUGCUCCGCCUGCACCAGUGAAUUAUUCUAUUCUUCUCCUUUGGUUCAGUCUGUGGGGAAAUCAGAAUUCACCAUUGAAUCCUGUGGAUCAGCUCCCUUACAUAAUAAUAUUUAACUGUAUCAGCUACGAGGGGAAAAUCUGAAAGACAGAGGAUAGAGAGUGAGAGAAAGAGUGUGAGACUUGCGCUGCUCUCCAUUUCGAGGGGAUUUCGACGAUUCUGGGGUGAUUGAACUAUUUCUUUACCUGUUCAAUUUCUAACGAAUCAAGAUAUCCUCUUGUUCCGGUAUAAAUAGUAGCUAUCUGCUCUUCCACUGGGAGAGGAUUUGCCUGGGAUUGUUUAAGCAAUUCCCUUAAUCGUCGACCCCUUGCCAAUUGAUUCUGACUUGUUUUAUCGAGAGUAGAGGCGAAUUGUGCAAAGGCUUGUCACUCUGCGAAUUGAGCUAGUUCCAAUUUGGAUUUGCCAGCUACUUGUUUCAUGGCUUUAAUUUGAGCCGCGGAUCCUACUCUGGAAACAGAAAUACCCACAUUAAUAGCGGGUCGAAUUCCGGCAUUAAAUAGAUCCGCAGAUAAGAAUAUUUGUCCAUCUGUAAUGGAGAUUACAUUAGUAGGAAUAUAGGCGGAAACGUCUCCAGAUUGAGUCUCAACUAUUGGUAAAGCGGUCAUACUUCCUUCGCCUAAAAGAGAAUUUAAUUUAGCGGCUCUUUCUAAAAGGCGUGAAUGCAAAUAAAAAACAUCCCCUGGAUAAGCCUCACGGCCGGGAGGUCUUCUUAAUAGAAGGGACAUUUGGCGAUAAGCUUGUGCCUGUUUGGAGAGAUCAUCAUAAAUUAUUAAAGUAUGCCGUUCGCGGUACAUAAAAUACUCAGCCAGGGCUGCUCCCGCAUAAGGAGCGAGGUAUUGUAAUGUAGCAGGUGAAUCCGCCAUUUCAGCUACUACAAUAGUGUAUUCCAUGGCCCCCUCCUCAUGGAAAGUAGUUACUACUUGAGCUACGGAGGAUGCUCUUUGACCGAUAGCUACAUAAACACAUAUUACACCUUGCCCUUUUUUCUUGAGAAUUGUAUCUGUGGCUACUGCUGUUUUGCCAGUCUGUCUGUCCCCAAUAAUGAACUCUCGCUGACCGCGCCCUAUAGGGAUCAUCGAAUCGAUAGCAAUAAGCCCUGUUUGAAGAGGUUCAUAUACGGAACGCCUGGAAAUUCUACUUGGAGCAGGAGAUUCAAUUAAGCGAGAUUCGGAAGCUACAAUUUCGCCUCUCCCAUCAAUAGGUUUAGCCAGAGCAUUUAUAACACGACCCAAGUUAUAUACGCUCACGGGUAUCUGAGCAAUUCUUCCUGUUGCUUUUACAAAACUUCCCUCUUGAUGCUAAACCAUAGCUCUAACUGAGUCAAAUUCCACAAUUUCUAAGAACGAUAUGCUUUUUUGCAUUUUCCACUGUGAAAGCUUCUCUCAAUCCCUCCCUAGUCCUUUCUUUCCUGGGCACAGGCUUACCUGGUUGACCGCCCACAUUCAUUCAUUGUUCGUUCUGUUGUGGAAUCGAACCACAGAGCUAGCGCAAUUGGGAUUUAGAGUCCCAUGCGUGAAACUAAAGAGGAUUUUCAGUCCUCUGCUCUACCAGCCAGAAUCUAGAAGGACACUUCACACCCGAUUUGACACAGCUAGACUGGAAACACUGCUUGUCAAGAGCACAGACCCCAGUAUAGAAUACUUUUUUGAGUAUGUUGGUAAGGUCCGGUCAUCCGCUUCUGUGCUUGCACUUCUGCGUAACUAGGGGUGCAAGUCCAGUACAGCGUACUUUCAUAAUUGAAUCAAAAGCGUCGAUACAUGAAAAAUCUCUAUAUACGAUAUUUAUGACACAGAAUGUUGUUCUUUCAACAUGAUUCCUCAACAAUUUUUUCAUUGUAACUGACUCUCCGUUCUCUCCGUUCCACUUUGGUUUUCGACUAAUAAUUACCAUGAUGAAUUUCUCUUACUGCUUGGUUCCGCAUUGGAUUUUGGAAACUUUUGUUUAGAAAGUGGUGUCACGACCGUGGGGAUCAAAUGGAUGGUUCAGGAAAUUCUAGUGAAGCGGCACGGUCUAAUCAUAUAGAUGACCAUAGUGGUAUGGUUCCAUAGAAAACUACUGGAGGCCAUUACCGCCACCGAAAUGGUUUCCAUGCUCCGUUGGAUGAUUUGACGAUAUCGCAGUAUCAAGCUAGAACGGUUUCAAUUUGUAGGACGGGAAAGAAACCUCAUCCUUUGGUGCACACUAACCGAUGAAGCUCAACCCUCUCUCGAACUGAGCUAUUUCCGCUUUUUCGAACAAAAAGUUCGAGUAGUUCAGUGAAAAAACGGUCAAGCUUUCUUCCAUCCUUCCUAGCUCCUCGAGCUUGCACCCGCUCGACGCCUUUUUCAUUGUUCGUUCUGAGGUGGAUUCGAACCACUCUCUCCGUUUGGAUUUCGAGUCCAAAAGGCCCGGCGAAAGAGGAUUUUCAGUCCUAUGCCCGCUGCCAGCCAGAACGGGAUUUUUCCACUUCACACCCACCCAAUCGGGAUUUGAUGAAAUAGCUACAUUUUUUCUUAUUUGAUUCGGAUACUGUCAAUCUACUGUCCAUCUUUCUCUUUAGUUUUCUCCUUUCUUUCUCCUCAACCUAUCUCCAUUGGAUGGACUUACGAAAGAAUAAUAUCUAAUCUCCCAAUCGCGGUUAGGAUCCCAUGAACCAGGAGCGCCAGCACCGGUUCCUCGAUCUUCCUACUGGAGGCAUGGUCAUGGCUUUCAUUCAUUCAUUUCAUUCUUUGUUCUGUUGUGGAAUCGAACCACUCAAAGGAUUUAGAGUCCUUUUACCAACCAGUCAGAACCAAUAUUUCUCUGUUAUAUUCUGUUUUUUCUUUGUCAGCUAGCACAAUUUGGAUUUCGAGUCCAAUGCGCUAACGCUUUCUUUAGUUUUCUUGCUUGAUUUUUAUACGAUUUUUUGAGCAACUAGCGCGAAAGCCGUUGCGCGUUAGCGCAUCCGUUUUCUUGCUCUUUCUCCGGGCUUUGACCAUGUCUCCCGAACAAUUUCAGUACAUAUGGCGCAAGACGAUUCCACAUAUAUAUCGAGGUCGGAAUGGGAUCGGGUGUUUUCACGUCUCACCGUAGUGCCCGGUUUGUCUUGAUUGGUGAUUGAUAAACAAGAAGGAAAAUGGAAAAGUAGAAAAUCUACAUGUUUAUACCAUUGAGGUCCUUAGUUUAGUCAAGUAGGCGAGGGCAUUUCCAUCGCGAAGGAUUCAAUCCAGCCACAGGUUCCCCUACGGCUAC